UUAUUUUGAAGAUUAUGGGGUGCUGUGAUCUCCCACUGGAAACAGAAGCUAGUCUUUGAAAUUUGAGAGGCUUAGCUAACAUCUACAGAGCCCACCAAACUAUGUAGCUUUACAAGUACUACCACGUUUUGCAAUGUUUUCUAUUAACCUCAUUUUGUUUCUGUUGUGCUGAAGUAUUUUAAAUGUCUCUUGUGCUUCUGCUGCAAAGUAAAACCUUGUGUCAGCAUAGUGCUGAGGUCUGAUUCUGGCUGUGUGACCAAGGAGCCUCAGGCAGACUGGGAAAGUGUCCUUCAACCCUGAUGGGAAAGCAGAAGGUAACCAGCUCUCUGACCACUCCUAUUGCUUCAUUGAGUAUAUGCUACAGGUAUGUGCUGUCUGUAGUGGCACUCAUGCAUGAUAAUUUAGAGUUAUUAGGUCACCAGUUGUAAAGCAAAAAAUUAAGUUUAGUAGAGAUACAAUUAGGAGACUUUUAAUUUCCUUAUCACGCUAUCAUGGAAGUAAAUAGAAUCAGUUUGUGGUAAAACCAUCAAAGAAGUUAAUUUACCUACAUUUUGCCUGUUACAGAGAAUGUGUAAUCAGAGCAGCUAUAGCCUUGAUGUCUAAAUACUGGCCAGGAAAAACUCAUAAGACAACAAACAGGGCACAACACAGAAAUUAAUGGUCCUUCUGUAAAACAGUCCAAGCAAUGUUAUGUUUCUCCUCGUCUUGCCGGGCUCACAAAUCCUCAAAGAAAUGCACUGAAGACAAAUUUCUUCACCAACUGCAUGAGUCAAAGGGUGGAUGGAUGCGUCUCUGAAAGGCUGACAGCAAGAGGACGUGCCUUCUAAAACACAACAAUAAUUAUGACAAUUAUAUGUCAGGGCUAAUUUACAAAAUGAUGCUUAAAUAUGGCGAAGUUUUAUUGCAGAGGAGGGAUGAAGAGUUAGCAGUAGUUACACUAUUUUCUUAACAAAAAAAGAGUCUGUGUUUGUAAGUCCAUCAGUGUCACAGGUGAUAAGAAAUCUAACAAUAGAUGCCCAAAGUAAUAGGGUGUACUUUACAAUAAUGUUUUGUUACUGCAGAACCAGAAAAUAAUCUAUGAUUUGAGACUCACUACAAGUAAGAGCUGUCAUGUCAUAGGCUUUAACCUUUGUAACUGAUUUUAGUCAUCUGUGACCCAAUUAUGAAAACUCUAGACUUUUGCAAUGCACUUGGAAAUAGUAGGCUAGGCAUGAGAAUGCUGCUAUAAGCUGAUUGUAUUUUCUCCUAUCUUGUGACCCCUAACCUACUUAAAAUAACUAUCAGAUGACCUUUUCUGUUUUGUUUCGUCAGCAAAGAAGACGGGAUAUUUUAAUGAGCCUUUAAUAAGCAGCUUCGUGCCCCAGAUGGGAUUCAGGAGGGUGGUUCAAAAUGGUAUUCAAGGUGGGAAUGUAUUUCAUCCAACUGCAGGUACAGAAAUUGCCUCAGCCUAAGUCCAACACAGUCACCAAGGCUCCCUCUGUAGGAAAAGGAGCAGAAUCCCAAUGGCCUUACAUUUGCGAACGAGAUCAGCUGUCCCCUAGCACUUUCUGUUUUCCCCUGCUUAUUAGAGAGCACAACUGACUAGAUUAUGUGUAAUCAACUUCCAUCAAGAUAAUAAGGCAAAUUAAUUCCACGAGGUAUGUCUAAGAAUAAAAGCAAACUGAGAUAUAAUUGUGUGCCAUCUCUGCAUGGAGUAUUGAGCAACAUUGCUAAAAUGGCCUGCCAAAAUGCCUGACUGAUGAAAAGUAGUUUAAAACUGAACCAAAUCAAAAUGAAAGCAGAACUGAGGAGAAGCCAAAAACUUGAAGCAGGUGUAGUUCAGAGUUGGCCCACUCUUGGAUACCCCAAAGAAAGGUAGCUUAUUCAUGCACUUUUCAUCUGUCUUAUAAAGGGAGGGCCUAACUUGUUAUUUUUGUUUUUAUCGGUAGAGAUAACAGGCUUCAUGUACUUGCAGUGGUCUUCAGGGACCAAGAUACAUUUCCCUGUCAUGCCCAUGCAGUUGUGGCCCCUGGGCUAGGACACGUGCCAAGCUUCCUACCGCUCUCUCGCCAAACGUCAGGAGUGUGAGGUGGUGUCCUCAUGCUGAGGAUCUCUGUGUCUCCACAUUUUGGACCACCACACCCCCUGGGCUUUCACUGAUGUCUUCUCAAGGGGAUUAUCAAUACAACACAAUACGCCUCCAGCUACGGAAUGGCCUAAUGGAGAAUAGGGGGAAAUAGUUAAGAUUACAUCAUGGCUCCGAGCUAUCUGAACCUCACAAAUCUGGAAAGCAAAUGUUGAACUCAGGAAAACCUUCAUGUCGCCCAUUGUUAAGUGAAAGCCUGGGAGAAAAAUGAACAAAUACAAUGCAUUUUUUACUAAAUACUGUUGAUCUGCUCAGAAUAAACAUUCUAAAAAUGCUCUCAUGGAAGAAUAGUGGAUAUAAUUGAUGCAUUUUUGUUUGGACACAUUCACGAGCAUGAGGAACUAUCCGUUUCCUGAUGAUUUCCUCUCUUGCCAGUACCUAUUAAAUCUUUUUUUAAGGAGCUGUUUGCCUUGUUGCCAUCUGAUCUGUUCAUUGAGGAAAGGAGAUUUAGUUUUUGUGUUUGCAGGGCAUGUGAGAAGGCUUAUAUCAAUGAAUCACUAAGAAGGAAAUAUCCUAAUUUACCUGCAAAAGUGUAAUUGAAUGAAAUAUUUUUGGGGGCUUUUAGCAACAUAAUGCUGAAAGCAUUACAGGUUUUGGACUCAAACAAGGGAGAUGAAACUUUGUUCAGAGUUAUAUAAUAUACCACGGUGGCCAGAAUAUAUCACUCUUUAUAUAUCACUCUUUGUCUUCAUAAUAAAUUAAAAUAUGACACUAUUAAUUUCACAGGUAAAGACAGAUAAGAUGACUUUUAGGUUCUGAUGAUCUUGCACAAUCCAUCAGAAGACAUCUUUUCACUUCUAUAUUUAAUGUACAGAUUUUAUUUUUUUUUCUCACACAGAAAAGGUUCAUGGAAGAUUUCAAUAGUAAGUGAGGGUCCUGAUAUUUUCCUCAGCCAGGGAUUUUUUCAGAUCCUUUGCAAGUGCUCUCAGCUAGAAGAAUCUGUCUGCAUGCUUCCUGAUGGGCAUAGCAUAGCAGGCUGUAUCUUUUGUGAUAUUCCUGCUGACCGUUGCUCUUACUUUUCAGUGGUGACGCCUGUGAGUCAGUGCUUCAGGCAUGUUACACUCAGUUCUCCCACUGUUAUCAAGAUAAAAAUGUGCCACAGGCAACUGUCCAUCGAGCUUACCUCGGCUAUUCACUGGUUCUUCCACUCCUGGCCUCUUGUCCUGGUUUACUACUCAUGCUCCAGCCAUGAGUUUUCUCUUUCUUUCAUGCCCUUUUGGAGAACAUGACUGUUGGUUCAGCUGUGGGUAUGGAGAAUCUGAAGUAAGCAGAUAAAAUGAGCUCCACAAGGCUCCUCUCUGUCUCUCAGGGCUGUUUUCUACAUUGUCCUAUCUCUGGGACACUUUUACCAGGUCUGAAAUUUUCUUCCUUAAUCUUCUGGUUCAUAGUUUCUCACAGAGGAGGUGGGCUCUGCAUGGGCCCCAUGACUACCCUUUGUUAAAGCUUGAUAUAGGACUUUUCUGUAUCUCUGUCCAAUGUCUUUUGGGCUUUUAUUUAGUUUCUUUCUUAAAAGAGGGUCCUACCCUCCAUCCCCUAGGUCUGCUUGUGGUCUCUGUUCCUAUCCAUACUGCUGCUCUACAACCCAGAUAUAUAUUUGUCCUGUAAUGGCUAAUCAUUUUUUUCAGUGAACUGGAAUUCAAUAAAGUCCAGCAUCUGAGCUGCAGAAAUUCUCUUACAAUAACAUUUUAACUUCUUCCAGGAAUCACUCAGUGUCCAUGAAAUGUAACUGUCUCAGAAUGAUAGAAUGGUUUGGGUUGGAAGGGACCUUAAAGCCCUCCUAAUUCCAACCCCCUGCCAUGUGGUCUUCCGCCAGACCACAUUGCUCAAAACCCCAUCCAGCCUGGCCUUGAACACCUCCAGGGGUGCAGCAUCCACAGCUUCUCUGGGCAACAUAUGCCAGUACCUCACUACCCUCAGAGUAAAGAAUUUCCUUCUUCUAUCUAAUCUAAACCUAGUCUCUUUUAGUAUAAGACCAUUACCACUUGUCCUAUCACUAAUAGAAUCACAGAAUUGAAUUGUAGUGCAUUGAUGACAUGUUCAUCUGUUGAUCCUGUCAGUUGUUUCCAAUCAGUAUCUCAAAAUUAUUUAUUUUAAAAUAAUUUGAAAGACUGCAUUGUGAAAAAAUAUCUUUUUUUUUCUCUUUUAAGAGUUCAUCCUUUUUCAGGUCAAUUUGCUUCAUUAUCUUUCUCUUCUUUUCAUGACUUAUUAUCAAGGCCUAUCAUCCAUCAAAUGUAACUGAGCUGUCUCCAACAAUAAAUUUCUCUUGUUCCACAUUUCAGCGUGAGGUUAUAGUUCUGGAAUGUUUCUGCUAAAUCAUUUCUCACGCUAAAUAUUUUCUCUUCCAGCUAUAAAAUUGCAUGAUCCUGAUUAUUCUCACCAAGAUAGCAACUUAGAGGCGUGGAUGCCUUCUCCUUACUGAUUUUUAAGGACAGAUCAUAGAAGGUCUCACAGGACAGGUUUAAACAAGUGUUCAUUACUCUUCCCACUUGUCUAUAACAUCACUGUGCAAGCUGAUAGUGAAAGUUAUUUCUGUAAAUCUCAAAAGAGUAGGCCAUUCCCAGAAUAAACGGUGACACCACCGUCACUCUGACUCAAGAUUAUCUCUUGCAUAAAAUGUACAGUACAACCUUUGCUUUGCUUUGUUCCUUCAUUUAGACUGGUGAGUGCUAUGAAGCCACUCCAGAAAAACUCCAGGUGGUGUACGUGUCUGUGGUGGAAGACCUUAUUCUGAAGCAGUCUUUCCAGUACUCGAAAGAACAGAGGUCAGUGACGUUAGAUUGGAUCAACAGCUACACAGCUAAACUCUAAAGAGGACUUCUAAAUGCAAAACUUGUGUUUCUUGUGAUUAACUAUUUGGUGUUAUAAGUUUCCUCAGUGAAAGUAAACUCUGCAGCAACACUGAUCAGGAAGGAACUUGCUAGCAGGAGCUCAGUAACUCUGUAGUAGCAAACUGCAUUUGCAGAAGGGCUGAAUUGGAACACCACCAAGCAGAAUAAAAACAGAAAGGUGUGUUUUAAAAUUAAUGCAGUAAAAGUUAAGCUUUCUGAUUUAAAAAGAAACUCCUUAACAUUUUGAAAACUAUGGAUCUGGCUAAUUUCAAAGCCAACAAGAUAGUCGAUAAAUUCAAUAAAUACAUUUUUUUUAAAAAAAGCUCCUAAAUAAAAUUAAGACACAUAAAUACAACUUAUCAUUUACCAUUGAGACAAUACUUCAAUACUUUAUUGGUUUAGACAUGGAGAAGCAUUCUCAUGCUCAGUUUCCAAACUGCAGUGGACUCCCUUUGGACCAAAGGACAAUUGCAAAGAUCCAACUUACAAUCGUAGAUCAGUGCAGACUUUGACCUGGCUUUUCCCAAAACAAAUACACAUUUCUGUAUCUGUUGCACACAUGAAUUUAUCUCCUGGGUGAGGUUUGUGAAUAAAUAUCUCCCACACAGCAUAUGCUGGUCAACUCUUAAGUCACAAAACGUAGGCUCCUGCAACUUGUUACCCAAAGCAAUUUAUGUGCCCAGCUCCCACUAACAGCAAUUUUAGUGCAGUUAAAACUAGUUUUUCAUGAUGUGUUGUUUUAGAAAGUUAAGAAUUUGAGCGCACAACUCUAAUUUUCAGAGACUUUUUUUUUUUUUUUCCAUGAGUUUUCUCUUGUUGCACUGAGAGUGGUAUUGCAAAAUGGAGCUGGCCAUUAUAAAUAAAAAAAAGGUAAUGCUUUCUGCUUUUCCCGGUCCCACUAAUUUAAAUGUUUAUGACAAGCUUCUCCAUUUUGAAGGCAUAUGUAAAACUUGCAACCUGGCCAAGACUUUCUGUAAUAUGUGCAUUUAUAAUAUGGAGGUUCAGUUAACUUAAAUAUAAUGUUCAUUGUCACCCUUCUGGCUCCUAUUCACUGCUCUACAAAGAACAUCUUGCACUGUGAAAUACCCAUGUAACUACAAUGUUUGUAUUCACAUGGAGCAAAUUAUAAGCACAUGAAAGUAAAGUACAUUCCUCAUGAUAUUUACACUGCUUGAAGAUUAAGAAUACAAUAGAUUAAAAGAAUCCAGGAAUAAAGUGGUCUCUGGGGAGCAUUCACAAUAUUUGUGUAAGGUUAUGCUCAUUUAAUAUAUGAAGCACAAAUAAAGCACUAAUAGAAAUGUUUGAAAUAUUUUCCAAACAUUCUCAUUAUAUGGCCUUACCCCCCUUCAGCUUCUGUAUUGCAUCAGCAGUGGAAAAAUAUCAGGAAAAAUAUCAGAGUCUAGCUUGUGCACAAUUAAAAAGUUCAACAUAUGUAGUUAUACAAAAAUUGGAAAAACAUUCCCAGAAAGUUACUGUUUCCAAAUAAUGGAUUCCCUCAAACAAACACUUAGUCCUUUCUUGCAGUAUCAAUGCAGCCUGACUUCCUGUAGAUGAUCUGAAAGCUCCAGUAAUUACCGGGGGCUUGAUUAAAUGCAUUCAGUGUAAUUAAGUUGAUUGGCACUGUCUGGAAAGCUUGACCAUUUCUUGCUUGCAUCAAGAAGUGACAGACAUUUUGUGUCUUGAAACAAAAGCUGUUAUCAAAAGAUGAAUCAUUUUGAAAUGAAAGAUUAAAUUAUAUUUUUUAGAUCUUAAAAUAUAUUGGCCAAAUGGCAGGUAUUACAAUCUCAUCUAGCAGAUGCCAGCUGAAAAGCAAUAAAAACAGCAGUAACGCAAAUUCACAGGUGACACACUUCAGAAGAGUUCCUAACUUAUCAUCCUUUUGCUGCAAUACCAUCUUGAAAACAGCCUUCACUCUUUCGGUAUUAAAUAUUUUUUCAGAAAUAAAGAAAUGAACACAGAUGUCUGCUACCUUUUUAUGGAUCACAAGACAUCUACCUCUAACUGUAUGCUAUAUUCUUACUCAAUUUAAAUAGUAAUUUAAGUUCAAGGCUUAUUUGGUAAAUGCUAGCAGUCAUCCCGUUAGUGGUGAGAAGCCAAAAGCCCAGGUAUGAAGCAAAUCUGUGCCCGGUGGGAUUUGACUGUCAAGCAUGCACUGCCAUACUUACCACUUUCUAUACAGUUAGAUUACUUGUAAUGAGACCAAACAAACAAAGAAAAAACAAACAAACAAACAAAAAAACUUCAAGAAUAUUUUAUAAUGUGUGAAUGGAACCUAUAAAUUGAUUUCCACAAUACUGGAAAAUUAAAUUUAUCUGAAGUGACUGUGCAGAAAAGACUUGCCUUGAAAGAGUAUUCCAUUUUUUUUCAUGUCUACCUGACCCUGCGCUAAUGUUUGGAGAGCAUGUAUUCUUCUGCGUCAUUUUUAAAACCUUUUAAAUGAUUUUAAGUCAUACUCAUCCAGAACUCAGUCAACACCAGGCAACCUAAGAUCCAAAUGUUGUUAUUCCCUGUGAAAGUUCAGAAAUCAAUGUGUUCGUCUGACUGCAAGACUGGAGCACACUACUCUCCUUAGGCACAGUGUCACGGCCUUCAUCCUGACCCAGAAGUUUCUUUGAUUAUUGGACUGUUAACUGAUGCCUGUUAACAUCAGUGGGCAUAAAAAAAAACACAUCAGCAACAACAAUAAAAAAAAAAAAUACACCACAGCUCUGUCUGCACAUCAGUGUCCUUUGAAUCAGAAUCUGCCUUUUGAACACCUUUGCACAAAUUCAGUUUUUGGUCAGCAGUGCUUUGAAGAUUUCUGCAUCAAACUCCAUUUUGUGGCGUAGACACCCCUGUGUUAGCUAAUACAAAGAAAGCUUGUGAAAUAGCCAUCGUGAAAUGAAGACAGUGUUAUAAUCAGACGUUGUUAGCAAUAAAGACGUAAUUGGACUCUAGUCCCAUGCAUGGUGCCAAACCCAAAUAACCUCUUAUGCAUGCAUUUUUAUUGUGCGGCGUAUUUAAUUGAAUCCUUCGAAGCAAUCAGGGAUUCACAUCCAGGUGAUUAUAAUCCCUAUCUCCUUCAGAGUUAAAUUCCCAAGCGCUGUGGCCAGCAGGAAACUUCAAAGCAGAGCUGCUGAAGGAGGAGCAGGUCCGCAGCGCCCCGGCGUGCCAGGGAGCACGGUGUGUGCACCUCAGCAAAUGUUUCACUCCAGCUGACCAGCUGAUAAUCCUGCAGGCUUUGCCUGCUCCUGGCAGGUGUUACUUUUGGGAGUGCCUGUGGCUGCAAGCAAGCAGGACGGAGGUGUGCAGCAGUGUGGUGCUGCUUGCAACACACAACGCACAGAUGUUUCUUUUUGCUGACAACGAAAAAAAAAAAAAAAAAAAAAAAAGAGAAAAAAGGGCCUAUGUUUUUUACAGAAGUGGUGUGGGCUGGAAUCCCACCUUCUUGACAAUCUGCAUUUAUGUAAUAGUUAAUAUCUGUGCUUGUAAAUGAACCAGCAGCAGACCAAGUCCUCUUGUAUAGCCUCUGUUGUCCAGCAGUCAUGGUGGUGUCCGAGGCACUUUUCACGUUAUAGUUCACGUGGGUAGCAUGGGCCAGGAGCAGAUUGCAGGCAGUCUCCUAGUUUGGGGAAAUAGGGGUGCAUACGUAAAUGAGCAAUUAGUGGACUGAUAUCUAGAUCAGCUUUUAUUGCAAAAGAAAUUACGUCCAGACCACUAACAGUCAUGACUGUUUAAAAAGCCAGCUAAGCAAUUAAGCAUUAAACUGCUAUGAUGGGUAAAUAAAAAUAUUGUUUUUAAUGACCGUAAUAUAUGUCAGGCUGGUUUGAUUUAUGCGCUAGGAGUAAAGACAUUGCCCUGUUUUGUUAGACCAGUAGACAACCUUUUCUCAUAUGUGGUUCCAGAGUAGUUGGGAGGGUCUGCAUGUUCCCAAAAGGUCUUCUGAUUUUUAUGAGUCUAUGAACUCUACACUGCAGGUGCUUCUUUGGGAGAUGCUAAGGGCACAGCAAUAUGUCUGGUGGGAAAUGAAACUUCUGCAAAACAAUUGUGUUUUUUUUGCUGUCAUGCAAUUUUUUUUUAGAAAGCAAGAGCAUAGGCACUUGCAUUUAAAACCUAAACAAAGCAAUU